rnacentral:rRNA from 1 species
GAUGAACGCUAGCGGGAGGCCUAACACAUGCAAGCCGAGCGGUAUGGAUAGCUUGCUAUCCAGAGAGCGGCGUACGGGUGCGUAACACGUGUGCAACCUACCUUUAUCUGGGGGAUAGCCUUUCGAAAGGAAGAUUAAUACCCCAUAAUAUAAUGAUUGGCAUCAAUUAUUAUUGAAAACUCCGGUGGAUAGAGAUGGGCACGCGCAAGAUUAGAUAGUUGGUGAGGUAACGGCUCACCAAGUCAAUGAUCUUUAGGGGUCCUGAGAGGGAGAUCCCCCACACUGGUACUGAGACACGGACCAGACUCCUACGGGAGGCAGCAGUGAGGAAUAUUGGACAAUGGGUGAGAGCCUGAUCCAGCCAUCCCGCGUGAAGGAUGACGGUCCUAUGGAUGGUAAACUUCUUUUGUACAGGGAUAAACCUACCCUCGUGAGGGUAGCUGAAGGUACUGUACGAAUAAGCACCGGCUAACUCCGUG